ACCUCCUGGGGAAGGAAGAACAACUUUGAGGAGCCCAUCCACCCAGCAUCCAGCGAUGCUCACCUUUGCCACUCAUAACUCCCUUGUUCACAGCCCAACAUAAAAUUCCCAAGUCCACAGUAGGAGACACUGUUCCCAGAGGCGACCAGAAGCAACUGUCACUGAGAGCCAGACAAGGCGGUGGGGGGUGGGGGUCCUCCUUACUGGUAUUUCCUGCUAAGACAGGGAGGACCUAUCUGUGGACCCUGGACUCACCACUGGCCCCUGGGGGACUUGGCAUCUAAGAGAAGAGAGAGCAGAGGACAGGGCACAUGUGCCAAUGGGAGGAGCCUGCCAGCCUUCCCACCUCUGUUCCCCUUUGCAUUCUUGGCCUUACAACAAACAGCACUUCCUGUGGUUAUUCUCUUGGCUGUGUCCUGUCCCCACCUCCGUUCUCACCAGUGGAGUGCUGAGAUUACAGAUGUUCGUUCAUGCCUUACCUAUGUCACAGGGAACUGAAGGCAGCACGCUUGUAUGACAGACCUAGUACCCCAUUGAGCCAUCUCAUCUGUCUCUCCAUCCAUCCACCCACCUACCUUUCUGUUUUUCUCUUGGUGGUCUCAGGGUUAUUCUUUCCCAAUCAGCAAGGACCCCAGCACUCCUACAGUGAGAAGCGAGAAGGCUUGCUAUGCUGGACCACACAAUGGAAACAAGAUGGGCCCUGUCUCAGCAAGGGAAGAGAGAACAGACUCCCAAAGUUGUCCUCUGACCGCCACAGCCAUGCCAAGGCACACUCACCUGCACGACAAGCACACGGAAUUGGUUAAUGUUUUAAUUGGAGAGAUGGCUGAGUUGAUAAAACGCCUGAGGACCUGAGUUUGACUCCCCAGCAUCAGGAUCAAGAUGUAGAACUCUGGCUCCUCCAUCACCAAGUCUGCCUGCACGCUGCCAUGCUUCCUGCCAUGAUGAUAAUGGACUAAACCUCCGAAACGCAAUGGAAGCCCUAACUAAGAUGUUCAUGAAAACCGGUAUCAAACUUGCUGAAUACAUCUGAAGAUCUAUGUUCCAUCCUUGGAGCCCACAGUGAAAGGAGAGAACCGACUCCUGAAAGCUGACCUCUGACCUCCACCGAUGCACCGGGGCAUGUAGGUAUCCACACACAAUAUAAUAACCAAUAACAUAAUAUUUAGUGAAAAGAAGGCUGGGGACGUACCUCAGAGGUACAGUGCUUCUCUGAUGUGUUUGAGGCCUACCAGAAAAAGGAAUGUUGGCAUUUUCGGUGCAGAUGAGGAAAAGAAGUCUGGAGCAGGCAGGUCAUCUGUAGGAGGCUGCCCACUCAUCCCCACAUCCUACCGCUGCUGAAGGAGGAAAAGCCAUAGAAUGCCCAGCCCUUCCGUGUCUGAUCCCAGAAACCCAGGGCCAAGGGGGCAGUGCCUUGCCUCUCUGUGCCUCAGUUUCCUCGAGUCUAACACUGGAAUGACCGCAGGCAAUCAAUCAUGACCUCUGCUGCUCCUUCCCAGGUUCCUGUCCUGAACCCUGAAUUGAGCUGGUUCCUUUAAAAGAGAUCCCACCAAGCUGGGCGUGGUGGCGCACGCCUUUAAUCCCAGCACUUGGGAGGCAGAGGCAGGUGGAUUUCUGAGUUCAAGGCCAGCCUGGUCUACAGAGUGAGUUCCAGGGCAGCCAGGGCUACACAGAGAAACCCUGUCUCAAAAAAACAGAGAGAGAGAGAGAGAGAGAGAGAGAGAGAGAGAGAGAGAGAGAGAGAGAGAGAGAGAGAGAGAGAGAGAGAAAGAAGAAGAAGAAGAAGAAGAAGAAGAAAGAAGAAGAAGAAGAAGAAGAAGAAGAAGAAGAAGAAGAAGAAGAAGAAGAAGAAGAAGAAGAAGAAGAAGAAGAAGAAGAAGAGAGACAGAGAGAGAGACCCCACUAUAGAAGGCCCCUUAGAAGGGUCAGGAGUCCCCGUGAGGAAGACAUUGAAGGACAUGAACUACAUUAGCUGCUUUUCUGUCCCUGUGAUCAAGUGGCCUGAAAGGAGAUUUUGUUUUGUUCGAGACAGGGUUGCCCUGUGUAACCAUUCUGGAGGUCCGGAAAUUCACUUUGUAGACCCGGCUGGCUUUGAACUCACAUAGACCUGCCUGCCUCUGCCUCUGCCUCCCAGGCACUGUGGUUAAAGAUGUGAGCCACCACGCCUGGCUUGAGAUUCAUUUUUGUUUGUGGUGUUAAAGAGGAGGUAGGAGGAACAGAGAGCACUUUGCAUACAGUGGCUUAGGAUGCAGACAAGGAAACUGCCCGUGGGACUGUCUCUUUCUUCCUUAACAGGCCCCAGUCUACCAGACAGCCUCAAGCACGUGCAAGGCAGGUCUCUCCUGUGUUCAUUCUCUCUGAAAACAUCCUCAUAGACACGCCCAGAGGUGUCCCUCCAUCUCCGGGGUGAAUCGAAAGCCAGUUAAGUUGACACUUGUCAGCCAUUGUUCUGGGUGUGAUGGCAUAGCCUUUAACCCCAGAACUCGGGACACUGAUGCAGGAGGGUCUACCGUACAGUCAAAGCCAGCCUGACUUACCUCAUGAGUUCCAGACCAAUCAAUGUCAUAUAGACUCUGGAGAAGAAAAAAAAAAUGUUAACUUUCACAAGAAUGGUUAAGAGAGAGCACCAUUCCAGACUGGAGGAGGAGCAAAUACAGAGGCCCAGUGGUGGGGACAGUUUGCUCAUUAAAGAAGAGGACAAGGGGGAAGUGAGCAAGGAGGUCAGUGGCAGGGGAUGUGUCAGACAAGCCAGGGUACUGCCUGCUUCCCAAUUCCCUCCCCACUGUGUGACCUUUGGCCCCACCUACCUCUCACUCUAGCCUGGAUUUCCCCUUCCCUUUGUGGGUGGGAAGGCAGCAGCUACAUCCUUUCCUAGAUGGUGCCCUGGGUGGCCUCAUCCAUCCUUCCAGAGAGGUGUGGGGACCCCAGCAGCCACUGUCCCUGCAGCUCCCUCUCUCUUUUGUUGUUCACAGCUUCCUAGGAGCUUAGGACUCACAACACAGAGCUUAGGACUCACCCAGCCUACAGUGUCCCUCCUGCCCUUCUCUGGCUAAUCAGACCUGUUCUGUGCCCUGGUCAUCCUGGGGUAGGAACAGAGGGUGAGUCUUAAUGUCUAUCCCCCAAGGACUGGCACAGGACUGGUCUCUGAGAAGCAUCUUGAUGGACGGACAUGAACGGAUUGGGCACUGUGUCAGAACAAGAAACCAGGGUCCCCCUGAUAGUUGACUGCGCUCAUGUUCAUGGGCAAAGAGCUCCUUCCCUAAUUUAGGAGUCUAGAGCCACGCUGGGCCCCCACAUUAAUCUGCAGGGACCUUGGGAAGCCUUGGGCUUUAUGAGAACAGAGAAGUUAGAAGAGUCUCAGCUCUCAAAGCACAAGCCCCAAGGUUGGAUGUGGAGCGCACAGCCUGGGUCAAAGCCUGGCCUUGGUCACUGUCAGCUGUGUGAUGUCAUAUGAUUUACUUUAAUAUCUCUGAGCUUGUUUCUAUGGCUGAAUGGGCUGAGCCUUAGUGUCUAUCUCAAGGAUUCCCGAGUGUUUAUGGGAUGAUGCAACAGAAACACUAUCACACAGGAGUCAAAGUUAAGUCUUAGGGGUGUGUGUGUGUGUGUGUGUGUGUGUGUGUGUGUGUGUGUGUGUGUGUGUAAGUUGUGUAUGUGGGGGGGAUGGUGUGAGGGGGUAGGUUGUAUGUGGGUGUGUGGUAUAUGUGUGUAUGUGUGUGUGGUGUGUAUGUGUGUGGUGUAUGUAUGGUGUAUGUGUAUGGUAUGUGUGUGUAUAUGUGUGUGGGGUGUAUGUGGUAUGAUUGUGUGUAUGUGUGUGUGGUGUAUAUAUGUGUGGCACGUGUGUUUAUGUGGUGUGUGUAUAUGUGUGUGUGAUGUAUGUGUUUGUAUAUGUGGGGGGAUUGUGUGUAUGUGUGUUGUAUGUGUGUUUGUUUGUAUGAAUGGGUUUGUAUAAGGGGGUGUUUGUGUGUGUAUAUGAAUAGGGGGUAUGAUAUGUAUGUGUGUGGAAUAUAUGUAUGAUGUAUGAGUGUGUGUGUGUUCAGGAAUCAGACAUGCCUGUACCUAAUAACUGCAGCAGAGCAGCAGACUGGCUGUAUCCCAGGCUGCUGUUCUGAGGUUUCUACAGUGUCUGGAAGUGCAGGAAGACACGUUGGCAGUGUGGCAGUGACAGGCAUCGCUAGCUGAGAGCAUGCUUGUUCAGGAUGUGUGUGGCCUGUCUGUACACAGGGUCUCUGUGGACAUCCACACUGCUACCCAGAGGCAGCCUCCACUCUGCCCUCAUGCCCACCUUCUGCAAGCAGAUUGUAUCACUGAGAACUGAGAGGGACUCCGAGGACAAAAGUUCUCAGUGGUGUGAGCCUCUAGAGCCCUGGGGACAGCCUUGCACACACACACUCUACUCCAGGGACAGGGCUGGAAACAAUGUAGAAUAGACAGGAGAGGUGUCAGCGACACCAGUGCAAAGAACAGCCUCUUGUACCCUUGUCCCUGACUACAAGGGCAUGGGGACACUUAGAGCAUUUAUGGACCCACAGUCCUCAGUGCAAAGCCUUCAGAGCAGGGACACCGAGGAACAGGGACGUUAAGUUACUCUCACCUAAGGUCACACAGAUGUAAAGGAGAAACCAGGAUUCUGAUUCCUGACUGUGUGCCUCAACUCCCUCCCAGCGCCCCCAGGAUGUGAUUCUGGAAGCUACCCCAUUUCCACCUCCUAGGACUCCCUGGCGAGACACUGACAUCGUUCUGAGUGUCUGGUGGCAGAAUAGCUCUUCUAGAGAACACAAUAACGACACUAUUUAGGCCACUCUCUCAUCCUGUUCUUUGCCCUAACCCAUUGGGCAGAAAUGACUACUGAGUCACAAAGCACUUGUCCAGGAACACAAAGGCUGUUCUGAUUCUGAGCCUUGGGCCACCUCCAAACCCAGAACUGGGCCCCCGGAUGCCAGUUCCCCUAGCACCUGGGCAGAUCGUGGUUGCUCACCCCCAAAGUCUAAAUUCUCGUUUUUAAUUUGACUAUAAAAGGCAUGAUACAUGGGUGCUUGGGAAACUCUGAAAAAUGCAGAAAAGUCAAAAUAAGGAAGAAAGCUCACCACCCAUAGCCCCACCCCCGGGCUCAGUCAUUGUUAGGGCUUGAUGUAUUUCCGUCCAUAGUGUUCUGUUUGACGACUGUUUUAAAAAAGCACAGCUGAGAUCACACUGUAUAUUAAAGGGGGGAGGAGCCCACAGUAGUAUCCUGCUUUUCUGGCCCGCCAUUUUUAUCCCAGGCUCUUUUUUGGGCGAUUUUACCUCCGGCCUGGCUUCCUUUCCCUGUCUCAGAACCUCAUUUCUAUUGGCUGCCUAAUAUUUUAUCAAGUGAAAGUUCCAUGGUUGACUUAGCCGUUCCCUUGUUGAUGGACACCUCCAUUAUUUCCAGUUUGGGGGAGUGACAGAUAAUGAGCCGUGUGUGAUUGGUAUCUUUGUAUGGAAAGUGUCCUGUUUUCCACAGCUAGGGCUAGCUCCUUAGCUGGAAUGGAAUUCCUGGGUUGGUGACUCAUGUGUGCCCUGGAACCCUUGGCCCAAUAGCCUCCCAGAGGACCUGGCCAUCCAUGCCUGCUCAACCCAGAGGUGGCCAGAGUGCCUGCGGCAGCUUGGACUGUGGGCAGAGCUGUUCCACUUCUUCUUCUGCAGCUCAUUUGUCUCCUCCAGUCAAUCUCACCCUGUUCACUCUCAUUCUGCUCAGUCUCUCAUUCUGAUGCAUAAGGGGAAACCAGGCACAGGUUUAGACUCCAGGAUACUUCAGGGACCUGACCAUAGAAAAGAAGGGAGAGAAGAAAGGGCAUGAGCAGAAGGAAGGCCCAGAAGACACUGGACCUGAAAUUUGGUUAUAUGCAAAUCAAGGUGUUUUGUGGCUCACCAUCUCAUUUGCAUGCCUCCCCAGGAGAGUAGGCAGGCAGAAGUAACAUAGACUUGCUUUAAAACUUGAUGGAAACCAGGCAGUGGUGGCUGGCGCACGCCUUUAAUCCCACCCAACACUUGGGAGGCAGAGGCAGGCAGAUCUCUGAGUUUGAGGCCAGCCUGGUCUACAGAAUGAGUUCCAAAACAAACAAACAAACAAACAAAACAAAACUUGAUGGAAACUGAGCAGUAAUGUAGCACACACUUUUGAUUCCAGCACACAGGAGGCUGAGGCAGGUGGAUCGCCAGGAGUUCCAAGGCCAGCCUGAUCUACAGAGUAAGUAUCAAGACAGUCAGGGAUAUACAGAAAAAUCCUGUCUCAAAAAACAAACAACAAACAAACAAAAAGGAAGGGGCUAGAGAGAAAGCUUAAUAAGAAUAUAUAGGGGGCUUGAGUGGUUACUGUUUAUAAUGAGCAUGGUUUAAAAAAAUGCCUUUUAGACAUGUAAAAAUAGCUUAGUCAGGAUCUCCACUACACGCAAGGCACACCCGAUAACCAGAACUCAGUGAUAUCACUCACUCAAGAUAACCAGACACAGUUCUUGAAUACCAUGAUGCCCACUGGACAGUAUUUAAGCAAGGACAAGAACCAUGCUCUGCUCUGCACAUCUGGAGAGAUGCCACCUUGAUCUGCUCCCCCCAGGAUCCGGACCCUCAAAUCAGAGACUUCCAUUAGAGACUGGACCUAAUUUUCAGCUAAGAUAUGUCACAGGUGAGCAGCCUUGAGAAGAUAGGCUAAGGACCAAAGUUAGUAAUUUAGAGUGUGAACAUUUGUGAUAAUAAAAUAUAAAUUUUGUUAUACUAGUUACGUGAAUCUAUCUUCAUGCUUGCGACACUGCUCUUCUACAGGACCUGAGUUCAAUUCCCAGCACCCACAAGACAGCUUACAACCAUGGUUCCAAGGGAAUGCAGCGCCCUCUUCUGAUUUCUACAGGCACUACACCCAUGCAAUACACAGACAUGCCAGUGAAAUACCCGUACAUAUAAAAUAAGAAUAUAUAUGGGGCUUGAGGGAUGGCUCAGGAGUUAAGAACCCUGGCUGCUUUUCCAGAGGACCUGGGUUCAAUUCCUAGUUAGCAUCAACAUGGUCACUUACAUCUAUCUAUAACUCCAGUUACAGGGGUCUGACACCUUCACACAGGCAAAACACCAAAGAUCAUAAAAGAUAAUUUCUUAAUGAAAAAAAUAAGAAUAAAUCUUUUUAAAAUAAAAAGACAGUGUGGAGCACUUGCCUAGCAUGCAUGAGGCCCUUGGUUUACUUGCCAGUACUUAAAGCAAACCUUAGGCAAUGCUUGCUUUCUUUGCUGCUGCUAUCAUGAAAUACUGACUAAGCCAGGCAGUUGUGGCAGGCAGAUCUCUAAGUGUGAAGUCUACAAAGUGAGUUCCAGGACAGCCAAGGCCACACAGAGAAACCCUGUCUUGAAAAAAAACAAAAUAAAACCAACAACACAAAGUCCCCAAAACAAACAAGCAAACAAAAAACACUCAAAUGAAAAGCAACCGGGGAGGAAAGUGUUUAUUGGGUUUUCUAUUCCAGGUCACAAUUCAUCAUCAUCCGAAGAAGGCAGGGCAGGAACUCAAGACAGGGACUUGGUGGCAGGAACCAUGAAGGAAGGCUAUUGCCUGGCAGACAGAGUAAUAUUCAGUUAGCUUCCUUAUCUAGCCCAGGACCACCUCUACAUAGGGAAUGAUACUGCCCAUGGUGAGCUGGACUUCCUCCUCCUCUUCCUCCUCCUCCUCUUCUUCUUCCUCCUUCUCCUCCUCUACUUCCCCUUCCUUAUUUAUUUAUUUAUUUAUUUAUUUAUUUAUUUAUAGACAGGGUUUCUCUGUAUAGCUCUGGCUGUCCUGGAACUCACUUUGUAGACCAGGCUGGCCUUGAACUCAGAGAUCUGCCUGCCUCUGCCUCCCAAGUGCUGGAAUUAAAGGUGUGUGCCACCACCGCCAGGCUUUCUUUUUAUUUUUGAGACAGAGUCUCUGACUGUCCUGGAACUCUUCACAAUGUAGACCAAGCUAACCUUGAACUCACAGAGAUCCAACUGCCUCUCAAGUGCUGGGAUUAAAGAUUUACUCCAUCAUGCUCAGCUAGGCUGGACCCUCUUAAAUCAAUUAAAAAUCAAGACAGUCUCAUGUGCUCAUACCAACGUGAUAAAUUGCUCCAUUGAGCCUCCUUCUUCAGGUGACUGUAACCGAUGAUAAGUUGACACUGUAUACUGGCUGGUUUUGUGUGUCAACUUGACACAAGCUGGAGUUAUCACACAGAGAGGAAACUCCCUUGAGGAAAUGCCUCCAUGAGAUCCAGCUGUAAGGCAUUUUCUCAAUUAGUGAUCAAGGGUGGAAGGGCCCAUUGUGGGUGGGGCCACCCCUGGGCCAGAAGACCUGGGUUCUAUAAGAAAGCAAGCUGAACAAGCCAGGGGAAGCAAGCCAGUAAGUAGCACUCGUCCAUGGUCUCUGCAUCAGCUCCUGCUCCCUGACCUGCUUGAGUUCCAGUCCUAACUUCCUUGGUGAUGAAUAGCAGUAUGGAAGUGUAAGCCGAAUAAACCCUUUCCUCCUCAACUUGCUUCUUGGUCAUGAUGUUUUGUGCAAGAAUAGAAACCCUGACUAAGACAAAUUGGUACCAGCAUAGUGGGGUAUUCCUGUGACAACCUGACCGUGUUUUGGGGAGGACUGUGGAAGGACUUUGGAACUUUGGCCUAGAAGAGCCAUUGGGUGUUAAGAGCUCUGUGGGAUGUUGUGUAGGAGCUUGGAAGAUAAUGUUAAGAACAGUGAAGAAAAAUGGAGGCCUGGCUUGUGAAAUUUCAGAGGGAAGAUUAAAGACUCUUACCAGGGCCAUUGCAGUUUUGAUUGUGAAGAUUCUGUGGUUCUGGUUAGCUGGGGCUGAAGAAUCAGCAGUGAUUAACAAGAUACCAGAACUACUAAAGCAAUCCUUUGCAUUACUGGGACUAUUGAUGCUGGUUAGCUGGAGCUUAGAAAUUAGCAGUGAUUAAGAAGAGACCAGCAUCACUGAGCUGAAAUCUUCUGGGAGUUUUUUUCUGAGAGUACAAAGAAACUGUGUUCCAGAGGCAGCCAAGGUUGUACCUUGUGCAGCAGCGGGGCUUGGUAAUGUGGGUAAUGUGUAAGAGUCACCCAGGUGGUACUGGUUUUGAAGGCAUGAAGGGGUCAUGAAGAGCAGUUGAGGCUUGGCACUAUGAGAGACCAUGGAAGGCCAUUGGUGAAGGUGCAGCCUCAGUUGCAGUUGAUGGCCCAGGACUGAAGGGGUCAUGCAAAGGAGUUGAGGCUUGGCACCAUGAAGAGAGCCUAUGAGAGGCUAUUGGUGAAGCCUAGAUGCAGUGGAAGACAGCAGUGUUUGGGGAUGCCAGUACCAUGAGAUGACCACCAAGAAUAACAGCAGCAGUGGAGUACAGGCAGCUGGAGCCUAGAAGACAAAGUGUGAGCUACUAAGGGCAGAGCUGGAGAAGUGACACAGCCCUUGGAGGAGCCCAGAAGAUUGUGAGUGGGUCCCAGACAUUGAACAGUUAGAGUUUGAUUUUGAUUGUGACUAUGCCCUGAUACUUUUCCCUCUUGAAGUAAGAAAGUAUUUUAAUGGCGCUCACGGUUAAAAGACUUGGAACUGUAAAAAGACUUUGAAUUUUAAGAGAUUGGAUGUUUUAAGGGGAUUGAAAUUUUAAUAUGUAAGAAUUUGCAAAGACUGUAGGACUUCUAAAGUUAUUUAGAUCUUGGGGAUGAAUAAGAAAGUAAGGGUUGAAGCUUAAUAGUGAUGUGUGUGUGUGUCAAGGGAAUAGAAUCCUAAGACACAUUGCUAACCAGUCAGGUGGUUUCCUCAAAGCCUGGACUUCCAGCUUCUCCUGGACCCUAAACCAUGCUGACGGCAGGAGCUCCACCAUAGCUUCUGCCCAGUUCUCUGGCUAUCUUCCCAAGUCUUGGGCCUUAAGAGCUGCAGUGAUAGAGGGAAGAUUUAAACCUACAACCCAGCUCCCAGAGGCCACCACCCUGUAGCUAGUCCUAGGGGAAAUCUUUGAGAGAUGAAAAGCCUAAGGCCUAGCAGGUGGACAGACAGACUGCCAUGCCAAAGACAGUGACUGUGCACUGUGGGGGAAACGGCCUGGGAGCCAGAACUCGCAGACUAGGUUGGAAACUUCCUAUUUCUUUGACCUAGGGUUCCCUCUGUUCAGAAUGCUCUCGCCCUUUCUCUCUCAGCCUGACACUUCCUCCUCCCGAAAGUCCUAUCCCUGGCCAGGACCAGAAAGCACUCUAUUCAUCUGGCUCCUGAAUCCUGAUCCAGGAAGAAGGGGAAGCUGGGACUAUGCAGAAGAAGAGACCAAAUCCACAGUGACAUGGAUCCCAUGGGAGAGCCCGGCUUGUGCUAUCCCUCACCAGGAUUUCUCUGUGUAGCCCUGAAACUUGCUCGGUAGACCAGGCUGACCUCAAACUCACAGAGAUCCACAGGCCUCUGCUGGAAUUGAAGCUCUGGGCCACCGCUGCCACCAAAUCUUUUCCUUAAACGGCCCAGAGCUCAGCCUGUGGCCUCGGUGGGAACAAAGUAAAAUCUUGCAAUGAAGGCAGUCACAAUGCUGAGACUCCUACAUGUCACCAUCUACAUGGGUAAGAUUCCUACUAUGUCACUCACUAUGUCACUCGCAGAUAAUGUGGCCUUGGGCUAGUCAUUUCUGUGCCUGUGUUUUCUCAGUGGUGAAAUGAAGCUGACUAUGGUCCCUCUGAGGCCAGUGCAAUGGCUCAGUGAGUAAAGGUGCUGGCCAGGGCCUGGCAAUCUGAGAUCAAGCUGCGGGACCCACAGGGCAAAAGGAGAGAACGGAUUCCCACAAGUUGUCCUCUGACCUCUGUAUGUGUGUCCUGGCAUGUACAAACACAUGUGCGGACUUGCACGUGCACACACAAGAUACACACACACACACACACACACACUCACACUCACAAAUAAAAAAAGUUCAAUUCUUCUGCAGAGAGAGGUGUGAGGAAGAGCUGAGUCAGCACAGACAGGAUGCUUCUCUGGAGUGCUGGCAUGCGUGUAGAUCCUACAGCACCUAGCACCCUCAGUCUGGCCUCCUCGACUCUGGACUGCUGUAGACAAUCGCCAUGGGAUUGGUGGUGCGGAUGGAGAAUGGUCAGUGUUUACCAACAGGUGAUCAGGGCGGGAGGAUCGGUUGACACCUCUCUUGCAGAGCUGGGGGAGUCUCUCAGGACGAGUUUGUUCUCGUGAUGCUUAGUUCUGUUCUUGUGGACCUGGAUUCGUUUCCUUAAAAGCAGGUUCUCAUGAGUUGUGCCUGAUCCUUGGGUUUCUCCUCUUCCCCGUGCCUGCCCUUCCAAUUCUCUGUAAGCACAAGGCCAAGGUGGCUUCCUAGAAGCCAAGUGGAUGCCCACACCAGGCACUUGGACUUCAAGCCGCCACUGUUGAAAGCCAAAUGCUCUUCUUUAUAAGUUACCCUACCUCUGCCAUUCUGUCAUAGCAAUGGAAAGUGGACUAAGAGUCUUGAUAAAUUAAAAGAAUAUCUUUUUUUUUUUUUGA